AGGGUAUUUAUGAGGAAGAAGGGGUGCAAUGUCUCACGUUGGACAUGUGACACUGUCAAGCAUCCAAAACAACAGGAUAUCACAUCAUGUGGUGCAUUUGCACUGAAGUUUGCAGAAAUGAUCCUAGCAAAAGAGGUUGUGGAUUUUCCUGUUUCCACUGAGGCAGUCUACAGCAUGAGAUGACCUAAAAGACUUGUGCCACUUCUGUGGAGAGAUGGAAACUGGAUCCAGUGUGACAUGUGCCUAGUGGUUCCAUCAAGCGUGUGUGGGAAGCCCACCAACUGAACAAAACUUUUACUGCUUUGCGUGUUCGCCUUAGCUUCCUGAGUUUGCUGUGGUGUGCUGGUUUAUGUAUGUUGUUUAAUGCUUCAUAAAUGACAUUUUAAAACUAUGUUGGAUAUUUAUUCUUCCAAGAAUUUAAUUUAACAUAGUUAUGGAAAGAUUUAAAUUCUAGGCCUAUUGCAUUUGUGAAAUGAAGAGCAAAUGUUUUUGAAUCAAAGUUGAAGACUUGCUGGUAAUUUUUUCCCCAUGUUUUUGGGAGAAUGGAUUAUAUCAGGCAGCUAAAACAGCUGAAAUAUAUGAUUCCAAAUGAAGAGUAAAUAUGACCAAAUCCACAGGAUUUGUUGUUGGUGGUGAGGGGAAUAAGCACAGUUAAAGACUUUCUGGUACAUUUAUUCUUCCCAUAUUAUGGAAGAUUAUUUCAGGCAGCUGAAAUAUAUGGUUCCCCUCCUUUAAUUUUUGCAAAUAAAGAGUAAAUAUGACCAAAUUCACAGGAUUUGUUGUUGGUGGUGAGAGGAAUAAACACAGUUAAAGACUUGCUGGUAAAUGAAAUUCUUCCCAUGUUAUAGAGGAGGAACAGAUUAUUUCAGUAAACUGAAAUAAUUUGUUCCCCUCCUUUAAUUUU